rfam:Gossypium raimondii chromosome 13, whole genome shotgun sequence.
AAUCUAUGGUGUGGCCACUUCUGAAUCAACAUCUUGAAACGCUCCCAUGCUUUGUCAAGGCUUUCUCCUUCUAACAAUUUGAACAUCGAAAUUUUUCUUUCUUAGCU